GUCCUGUUUGCUCUUGUUCUAUGGUGUUUGUCCUGUUUGCUCUUGUUCUAUGGUGUUUGUUCUGUCCUGUGUGGUUCAGUGAACUGUGGGAGGCCUGAUGUGGACUAUAACGGGAUGGUGUACGGGAACGACUGGUGGGUGGGCUCAGUUGUCCGGUAUGCCUGUCGCUCUGGCUUCCUAUUGGUGGGGGACCCUGCCCGAGCCUGCCAGUCCAAUGGAGGCUGGACCCCCAAACCCUCCUGUCUCAGGGUGUGUCAUCAGGGCCGCGUGGAGAUCACUGAGAAGGAGCUAGAAACAGCUACCUGCUCCUCCACCUGUCCCCUUAAGUCCUACAUGGGGCCUCUUAAGCAGGGCUGCUACGGCAUCGACAACUGCAGGAAGAUGAAUCCUGACUGGAAGCGCUGGUUCACCCGCUGUGACACGUGCCUGUGUGAUUGCCACAUCGCCUGUGGUUAAAAGACGGACAAAUUCCACUAUUGAGUGACUAGAAUAUGUAUUCCAAAACCAUCACAAGGAUAUCGGUGAACAGCCUAACAUCACAGAUCCUCAUUGGAAUCUCAAUCGGAAUGCUCGAAUCCUCGUCGGACUAUUGCUGCUUCAUCUGCUGUCAAAAGGAGGAUCAAAGGGAAACCUAGCGAGACAUCUCUGUGGAACUAACAGUCUGUUGUGAGAGACUGCGGUCCUAACCUCAACAACCUCAUAGGGUUAACGUAUAGAACACAGUGGAGAAUGGAAUAGUGUUGUACAUACUGGGAGAACAGAAGAAUAAGAGAUGAUUCAUAAGCACUGUUUUAGACCCGCAAGAACCUGCAUCCACUCUGACACUAGCUCCCAGGAGGUCUGAUUGGCCUCAUUUCCAGCCACUCAAUUCACACGCUUCCAGGGGCAGCCCAAAGUCUGGGUAACUCUUUCUCUGUGAACCUAUUAAAUGGAGAGCAACAAGUGUAAGUUCAUCAUGCACAACAAGGCAGGAUAGGCUAUGAUGACUGACCAUACCGUACAACAUUUUGAUAAGAGAAAUUUACUUUGAUUUCUGGAAGUAUGUCAUUGUAAAAUGUAUACGAAUUAAGCCUGAAAAUGUACAAGAUACAAGAGAUUACAUAGACUUCUCUGUCAAAUAAAAUGUAUUUAAAUGUGUUUAGUGUUAAUAAUGAUGCUAAUACUGACCAAUGUUCCUUACUUAAAG
ensembl:lncRNA